GAUGAACGCUGGCGGCGUGCCUAAUACAUGCAAGUCGAGCGAACAUACGAGGAGCUUGCUCCUCUGACGUUAGCGGCGGACGGGUGAGUAACACGUGGAUAACCUACCUAUAAGACUGGGAUAACUUCGGGAAACCGGAUCUAAUACCGGAUAAUAUAUUGAACCGCAUGGUUCAAUAGUGAAAGACGGUUUUGCUGUCACUUAUAGAUGGAUCCGCGCCGCAUUAGCUAGUUGGUAAGGUAACGGCUUACCAAGGCGACGAUGCGUAGACGACCUGAGAGGGUGAUCGGCCACACUGGAACUGAGACACGGUCCAGACUCCUACGGGAGGCAGCAGUCGGGAAUCUUCCGCAAUGGGCGAAAGCCUGACGGAGCAACGCCGAGUGAGUGAUGAAGGUCUUCGGAUCGUAAAACUCUGUUAUUAGGGAAGAACAAAUGUGUAAGUAAAUAUGCACGUCUUGACGGUACCUAAUCAGAAAGCCACGGCUAACUACGUG
rnacentral:rRNA from 1 species